rnacentral:lncRNA from 1 species
GAAAAUGAUCAAAAAUAGAAUGGAAAAGGAAAAUUAAAGGAAAAAUAUCAAUUAAAUGCAAAACCGAUUUUAAAAAUUAUGCAAAAAAUAUAUAUGAUGUAAAAUAUUUUUAGGAUUUUUUUGUAAAAAAUUAGAGAAAAAAUGAAUUAGGGAUCAUUAAAAAUUAAAUCAAAAAAUAAAUGGAAAUAAAAAAUGAAAAAAUAAAAUAAAG